UGGGAAUAAAAUGUUCCACGUGUGGGAUUUUGUAUGUACCAUAUGAAUAAGGAUCGGCUAACUCCGUGCCAGCAGCCGCGGUAAUACGGAGGAUCCGAGCGUUAUCCGGAUUUAUUGGGUUUAAAGGGAGCGUAGGUGGAUUGUUAAGUCAGUUGUGAAAGUUUGCGGCUCAACCGUAAAAUUGCAGUUGAAACUGGCAGUCUUGAGUACAGUAGAGGUGGGCGGAAUUCGUGGUGUAGCGGUGAAAUGCUUAGAUAUCACGAAGAACUCCGAUUGCGAAGGCAGCUCACUGGACUGCAACUGACACUGAGGCUCGAAAGUGUGGGUAUCAAACAGGAUUAGAUACCCUGGUAGUCCACACAGUAAACGAUGAAUACUCGCUGUUUGCGAUAUACAGUAA
rnacentral:rRNA from 1 species